UACGUAGGGCGCAAGCGUUAUCCGGAAUUAUUGGGCGUAAAGAGCUCGUAGGCGGGUUGGUAAGUCCGCUGUGAAAGCCCGGAGCUCAACUCCGGAGGGUCGGUGGAUACUGCCAGUCUUGAAGGUGCUAGGGGGAGAUGGAAUUACCGGUGUAGCGGUGAAAUGCGUAGAUAUCGGUAGGAACACCAGUGGCGAAGGCGGUCUCCUGGGGCAUUCUUGACGCUGAGGCGCGAAAGCUGGGGGAGCAAACGGG
rnacentral:rRNA from 1 species